CAGUAGCCGCGGGAAUACGAAGGGGGCUAGCGUUGCUCGGAAUUACUGGGCGUAAAGGGAGCGUAGGCGGAUUGUUAAGUUGGGGGUGAAAGCCCGGGGCUCAACCUCGGAACUGCCUUCAAUACUGGCGAUCUUGAGUAUGAGAGAGGUGUGUGGAACUCCGAGUGUAGAGGUGAAAUUCGUAGAUAUUCGGAAGAACACCAGUGGCGAAGGCGACACACUGGCUCAUUACUGACGCUGAGGCUCGAAAGCGUGGGGAGCAAACAGGAUUAGAUACCCGCGUAGUCCCUGUCUCUUAUAC
rnacentral:rRNA from 1 species